rnacentral:rRNA from 1 species
UACAGAGGGUGCAAGCGUUAAUCGGAAUUACUGGGCGUAAAGCGCGCGUAGGUGGUUGUGUAAGUUGGAUGUGAAAGCCCCGGGCUUAACCUGGGAAUGGCAUGGGAAACUGGCGGGCUGGAGUGUGGCAGAGGGGGGUGGAAUUCCGCGUGUAGCAGUGAAAUGCGUAGAGAUGCGGAGGAACACCGAUGGCGAAGGCAGCCCCCUGGGCUAACACUGACGCUCAGGCACGAAAGCGUGGGGAGCAAACAGG